rnacentral:rRNA from 1 species
AGUGGCGGACGGGUGAGUAACGCGUAAGAAUCUAACUUCAGGACGGGGACAACAGUGGGAAACGACUGCUAAUACCCGAUGUGCCGCGAGGUGAAACCUAAUUGGCCUGAAGAAGAGCUUGCGUCUGAUUAGCUAGUUGGUGGGGUAAGAGCCUACCAAGGCGACGAUCAGUAGCUGGUCUGAGAGGAUGAGCAGCCACACUGGGACUGAGACACGGCCCAGACUCCUACGGGAGGCAGCAGUGGGGAAUUUUCCGCAAUGGGCGAAAGCCUGACGGAGCAACGCCGCGUGAGGGAGGAAGGUCUUUGGAUUGUAAACCUCUUUACUCAAGGAAGAAGUUCUGACGGUACUUGAGGAAUCAGCCUCGGCUAACUCCGUGCCAGCAGCCGCGGUAAUACGGGGGAGGCAAGCGUUAUCCGGAAUUAUUGGGCGUAAAGCGUCCGCAGGUGGUCAGCCAAGUCUGCCGUCAAAUCAGGUUGCUUAACGACCUAAAGGCGGUGGAAACUGGCAAACUAGAGAGCAGUAGGGGUAGCAGGAAUUCCCAGUGUAGCGGUGAAAUGCGUAGAGAUUGGGAAGAACAUCGGUGGCGAAAGCGUGCUACUGGGCUGUAUCUGACACUCAGGGACGAAAGCUAGGGGAGCGAAAGGGAUUAGAUACCCCUGUAGUCCUAGCCGUAAACGAUGGAUACUAGGCGUGGCUU